UAGGUAUUUUCUUGAAAGGAGGAGCCCUC
rnacentral:piRNA from 1 species